rnacentral:lncRNA from 1 species
UUAUUAUGAGAGCUAUUAAUAGUAUCUUCAUACUAUUUAUUUUAAAAUUCUUCUUAUGUUUAUAUAUUUGCAUAUCUAUUUGUGUAGAGAUACUCAUCCAUAAAUACACAUGUUAACUUUCUAAGGCACAACUGAAGCUUUUUUUUUUUUUUAAACUGAAGCCUUCCUAUUCACAGGUUUUGUGUAUUUACCUGCAGAUGACUAACACACAGAAUCUGAGGAAUGCCAAACACUCUCAUGUUAGAGGCAAGAACCUUCAGAAAUAGCCCUUUAUACAAGGCAUUUAUACUGAGGACCAGUCUUUAAAAAUAAUUUAGCCCAGGAGUUUGGCAGUAAUUUUAAAACUCUUUGAGGAGGGCCAUAGCUGGACCCUGGUGUUCCUCAACUUUAAGUGAUUUUAAAUAAUCUCAGAGAUAGCUUAGAAGGCUUGAAUCUACCCUGGAGGAUUCUGAAUCCCUUUGGGAAAUUUAUAUUCUGUUUCUCAAUUAGAAUUAAAAGCCUGAAAUACACCCUGGACCUAUUUGGUCCCAUAGUUCUCAUCCUGCAUACCCAGGUCAUCUGGUUCAAACCAGCCUAAAGGGAUAGCCCCAGAGAAGCCAAACAGGCCAUGGAGAAUCACAUUGUUUUUUUUAAAGCUGUGGAUCCUCAUGGCUGUAAAUAUGUUGGCACCAGCAUCUGUUGUGAAUCUCUAGCCAUUUUGUCACCAUACUCCCAUGGGACCCUUUCCCCUAGAGGGAUGCAGGGAUGAUCAUGGGAAUGGAAAUGAUAGAGUCCGGAACCUGCCAAAUAAGAUGUUUUUAAAAUUUGCUAUUAUUCUAUUUUCCACUGUCUUUCCUCCCCACUUUACAUUUGGUUUAUUAAAACGGCUGUGUCUGUACAGAUAUCUCUAUUGUUAAGGAAA